rnacentral:rRNA from 1 species
GAUGAACGCUGGCGGCGUGCCUAAUACAUGCCAGUCGAGCGAACGGACGAGAAGCUUGCUUCUCUGAUGUUAGCGGCGGACGGGUGAGUAACACGUGGAUAACCUACCUAUAAGAUUGGGAUAACUUCGGGAAACCGGAGCUAAUACCGGAUAAUAUUUUGAACCGCAUGGUUCAAAAGUGAAAGACGGUCUUGCUGUCACUUAUAGAUGGAUCCGCGCUGCAUUAGCUAGUUGGUAAGGUAACGGCUUACCAAGGCAACGAUGCAUAGCCGACCUGAGAGGGUGAUCGGCCACACUGGAACUGAGACACGGUCCAGACUCCUACGGGAGGCAGCAGUAGGGAAUCUUCCGCAAUGGGCGAAAGCCUGACGGAGCAACGCCGCGUGAGUGAUGAAGGUCUUCGGAUCGUAAAACUCUGUUAUUAGGGAAGAACAUAUGUGUAAGUAACUGUGCACAUCUUGACGGUACCUAAUCAGAAAGCCACGGCUAACUACGUG